rnacentral:rRNA from 1 species
AUUGAACGCUGGCGGCAGGCCUAACACAUGCAAGUCGAGCGGAUGAAGGGAGCUUGCUCCUGGAUUCAGCGGCGGACGGGUGAGUAAUGCCUAGGAAUCUGCCUGGUAGUGGGGGAUAACGUCCGGAAACGGGCGCUAAUACCGCAUACGUCCUGAGGGAGAAAGUGGGGGAUCUUCGGACCUCACGCUAUCAGAUGAGCCUAGGUCGGAUUAGCUAGUUGGUGGGGUAAAGGCCUACCAAGGCGACGAUCCGUAACUGGUCUGAGAGGAUGAUCAGUCACACUGGAACUGAGACACGGUCCAGACUCCUACGGGAGGCAGCAGUGGGGAAUAUUGGACAAUGGGCGAAAGCCUGAUCCAGCCAUGCCGCGUGUGUGAAGAAGGUCUUCGGAUUGUAAAGCACUUUAGGUUGGGAGGAAGGGCAGUAAGUUAAUACCUUGCUGCUUUGACGUUACCAACAGAAUAAGCACCGGCUAACUUCGU